GCCGUGACUCAGUGGUUGAGUAUAUGCUUUCCAUGUAGAAGGUCCUAGGUUUAAUUCCAAGCUAAAAUG
rnacentral:tRNA from 1 species